ACUACUUUGGCAGAUAAGUGCAUUGGAUUUAGGAUCUGAACAUAUAGCUAUAAAGAGCGCUAUAAGUAGUU
rnacentral:tRNA from 1 species